rnacentral:misc_RNA from 1 species
CGCACCUUGCGCCCUUUGGUAUUCCGAAGGGCACGCCUGUUUGAGUGUCAUGUUCAUCUCAAUCCAUCUGCUUUGUUGCUGCUUGGAUUGGAUUUGGGAGCCUGCUGGCCUGCAAAGGUCGGCUCUCCUUGAAUGCAUGAGUGAGCAUCUGGCUCGCGUUGCUAGUGUGAUAGUUAUUCAUCAUUGGCGGCGCUUGCCUAAAGAGCUUGCUUUCGAACCGUCUUCUCAACGGAGACAAACUAUACUUGACCAUUUUGACCUCAAAUCAGGUGGGACUACCCGCUGAACUUAA